UUCUGUCACUCCAUUCAAAUCCUUUGCUUCUUCUUUGUUUUCUUUUCCGAUAAAACAAAAACAGGAAACAAAGGUUUUAGUUAUUGGAAAUGGCUAGGAUGUCUUUCAUCCGAUACUUUCUCUUAUUCCUUAUUAUUUCAGUUGUUUCAAUGAGAAGUGAAGGUGCUCCACCGAAAAUAUGUACAAAAGUGGUGCUAUCGGAUUCGUGUGAGUUUAAAAAGUGUGACCUGCGUUGCAAAGAGUUUUUCGAUAUCCGAUUGCUGGUCUCUUCAGAAUGCGUUCAGAAGGAGGUGGGUUCAGAUAUUCUACAAUGUGUUUGUUUCUAUCACUGUUAAACUACACAUUAUAAUAACACAUGUACCCUAAAUUCUUGGUUAACAUUAUAUGAAUAAGAUGGGGCUUGAUUGUUUACUCAA